GUGGUGGGAUGAAUUCGCUGUAUAUGGGUAAGACUUUUUCCUUUGUCUUGUUGUAAUUUUCAUGUAUGUCUUAGAUUGAUUAAGUUUUUUUUUUGUGUAUAUUCUUCAGAGGAUGUGAUUGCGGGCCUGGCUAGUGCGGAGGAGCUUGCUAAGGGGGCCAGCAUUGCGCGGGAAGGGCUUGUUGUUCCUUCGCCCCGCAUUCCUGCACCAUCUGCGCUGGCCAGCAGGCCUUCGCCUGCUAAUGUUACUGGUCCUGGUGAGUUUGGUAAAUUUUGUUUUUAUGUUUUUAGUCGAGUUGUUUGUCUUUUGCUUUCGUUGAUUGUUCCUUGAUUGUGCGCAGG
rnacentral:lncRNA from 1 species